rnacentral:rRNA from 1 species
AUACGGAGGAUGCGAGCGUUAUCCGGAUUUAUUGGGUUUAAAGGGAGCGUAGGCGGGAGCUUAAGUCAGCGGUUAAAUGGUGCGGCUCAACCGUGCCCUGCCGUUGAAACUGGGUUUCUUGAGAGUGCAAGAGGCGGAUGGAAAUUAUGGGGUAGCGGUGAAAUGCUUAGAUAUCAUGAAGAACUCCGAUUGCGAAGGCAGUCCGCUGGGGCACGUCUGACGCUGAUGCUCGAAGGUGCGGGAAUCAAACAGGAUUAGAUACCCUGGUAGUCCGCACGGUAAACGAUGAUUACCCGCUGUCGGCGGCAGACAGUCGGCGGCCAAGCGAAAGCGAUAAGUAAUCCACCUGGGGAGUACGCCGGCAACGGUGAAACUCAAAUGAAUUGACGGGG